rnacentral:rRNA from 1 species
AUUGCACGCUGGCGGCAGGCCUAACACAUGCAAGUCGAGCGACCGGCGGACGGGUGAGUAAUGUAUGGGGACUGCCCGAUAGAGGGGGAUAACUACUGGAAACGGUAGCUAAUUCCGCAUACUAUCGGAUAACCCAUAUGGGAUUAGCUAGUAGGUGAGGUAAUGGCUCAACUAGGCGACGAGCCCUAGCUGGUCUGAGAGGAUGAUCAGCCACACUGAGACUGAGACACGGCACAGACUCCUACGGAGGCGGCAGUGGGGAGUAGUGCCCAAUGGGCGCAAGCCUGAUGCAGCCGUGCCGCGUGUAUGAAGAAGGCCCUAGGGUUGUAAAGUACUUUCAGUCGGGAGGCGUUACCGACAGAAGAAGGAACGGCUAACUCCGUGCCAGCAGCCGCGGUAAUUC